AUUGAACGCUGGCGGCAGGCCUAACACAUGCAAGUCGAGCGGAGCGGCGGACGGGUGAGUAAUGCCUAGGAAUCUGCCUGGUAGUUGGGGAUAACGUCCGGAAACGGGCGCUAAUACCGCAUACUAUCAGAUGAGCCUAGGGCGGAUUAGCUAGUUGGUGGGGUAAAGGCCUACCAAGGCGACGAUCCGUAACUGGUCUGAGAGGAUGAUCAGUCACACUGGAACUGAGACACAGUACAGACUCCUACGGGAGGCAGCAGUGGGGAAUAUUGGACGAUGGGCGAAAGCCUGAUGCAGCCAUGCCGCGUGUGUGAAGAAGGUCUUCGGAUUGGAAAGCACUUUAAGGUGGGAGGCGUUACCCGCAGAAGAAGCACCGGCUAACGCCGUGCCAGCAGCCGCGGUAAUAC
rnacentral:rRNA from 1 species